UACGGAGGAUCCAAGCGUUAUCCGGAUUUAUUGGGUUUAAAGGGUGCGUAGGCGGCGCGGUAAGUCGGGUGUGAAAUCUCGGAGCUUAACUCCGAAACUGCAUUCGAUACUGCCGUGCUUGAGGACUGGAGAGGAGACUGGAAUUUACGGUGUAGCGGUGAAAUGCGUAGAUAUCGUAAGGAAGACCAGUGGCGAAGGCGGGUCUCUGGACAGUUCCUGACGCUGAGGCACGAAGGUCAGGGGAGCAAACGGG
rnacentral:rRNA from 1 species